rnacentral:rRNA from 1 species
UACGUAGGGGGCUAGCGUUGUCCGGAAUCAUUGGGCGUAAAGAGCGUGUAGGCGGUCCGGUAAGUCCGCUGUGAAAGUCGGGGGCUCAACCCUCGAAUGCCGGUGGAUACUGUCGGGCUAGAGUGCGGAAGAGGCGAGUGGAAUUCCGUGGUGUAGCGGUGAAAUGCGCAGAUAUCAGGAGGAACACCUAUUGCGAAGGCAGCUCGCUGGGACGUAACUGACGCUGAGACGCGAAAGCGUGGGGAGCAAACAGG